GUCUGUGGCCAUGCCACCCCGAACAAGCCUGAUCCUGUCUGAUCUCGGAAGCUAAGCAGGAUCAGGCCUGGUUAGUACUUGAAUGAGAGACCACCUAGGAAGACCAGGUGCUGUAGGCC
rnacentral:rRNA from 1 species